rnacentral:rRNA from 1 species
UACGGAGGGGCUAGCGUUGUUCGGAAUUACUGGGCGUAAAGCGCACGUAGGCGGCUUUGUAAGUUAGAGGUGAAAGCCCGGGGCUCAACCCCGGAAUUGCCUUUAAGACUGCAUCGCUUGAAUCCAGGAGAGGUGAGUGGAAUUCCGAGUGUAGAGGUGAAAUUCGUAGAUAUUCGGAAGAACACCAGUGGCGAAGGCGACUUACUGGACACAUAUUGACGCUGAGGUGCGAAAGCGUGGGGAGCAAACAGGG